rnacentral:rRNA from 11 species
UCUAUUGACCUAGAUAACCUAAGGUACCCACUCCUGUAUGAUCUUGGAAGCUAAGCAGAAACAGUCCUGGUUAGUACCUGGAUGGCAGACCACUAGUGAAUAAGAGGUGUUGUGGGAU